ACCGGUGGCCGGGCGGGAUGUAACCCGCUGCUGAGCUGGCAGCUCUGUGUCGCUAGGCUUCGGCCCGGCCGCCGCCGCACAUAAGCUGCGAGGAGGAGCUUUACGACUUCCCGGUCUUCGGGGCCGGGCGCAGCAAGGGCCAGACUCUGCGCUAGCAGGCGCUGCGCGCCAACCGGCCGGCACCUGUCGCAGAAGGUGCAACCGAUCGCACUGUCGCGCCGAAGCUCCUCAAUGGCCAGCGCCAGCUGCAGCCCCGGCCGCCCACUCGCCUCACCUGAGCCUGGGAGCUUGAAAAAUCACAUUUGAGAAGAGGAUUGGAUCCUAGCCAUAACAUAAAUAUAAGGGUGGAACCAAAGUUUUAAUCAAAGAAGGUGGUGUUCAGUUGCUGCUUACAAUAGUUGAUACCCCAGGAUUUGGAGAUGCAGUGGAUAACAGUAAUUGCUGGCAGCCUGUUAUCAAUUACAUUGAUAUUAAAUUUGAGGACUACCUAAAUGCAGAAUCGCGAGUGAACAGAUGUCAGAUGCCUGGUAACAGGGUGCAGUGUUGUUUAUACUUCAUUGCUCCUUCAGGACAUGGACCAUUACAUAACUGAAGACUCCCACCUUCAGGCAGGAUUGGGUAGUACGUGUUUGUAACUACCUGGCAUUGCCUUUUGUUGAGGAAGGGUAGAUGUCUACCCAAAUGGAAUAUUGAGUAUCAGAGACUUCAAAUGAUAACUUUUGUUUGUUUGGAGAAAAUCUUGAGGACGUGAUCACUGUACAAAAGCAUGGCAAAAUGAGGAAACCACUGACAGGUGAAGAAUUUGCACAAUGGAAAACCACCUUGACCAUCUCAUGACUUUAUACAGGAAUCGGAGGAAAAAGAGUCAUUUUGUACUCUCUUAUCUAUAACCAUGUCUCACUUCAAGUCAAUGCUACAAUUGUCACUUUUAUUUUGAAAAGGAAGCUCAGAAGGAAAAAAACUCUUAGAGAGAUCUUCUAACAGAACAUUUUUCUUCACUGAUAGACAUCCAAGGCCAUUCCAUUUCUAAAUCACACUUAUCCCUCAAUCAAGUCAGUGACUGGAUCAUCUCCUAAGGUUUCACCUGCUUUGCAUCAGGUAGGUGAGAUGAAAGUGAUUUUAUGGGUAGCUUUCAGAAAAAUGUACUGCACUGAAGUGACAAAGUUCUGUCUUGCCUGUUCUCUCACAAAACAGCAUAUCAAUUAAAUAAUGUUUUCUUUACAAUACAGUUUCAUAGGACUUUCCAUUUGUUUCAGAGUGCCUUAACUUUUUAAAAAAAGACACUGUUAACAAAUACAAUUAUUUCUCUUAAAAUCCACUCAGCCAGCAUUUUUCACUAUCCUAUAAAGGCUUUAAAUGUCACAGAAUGUAUGAUAAUUUGCUCCUAACCUACUUUUGAAAAAGGAAAGAUUCCAAACAUUCUUGAAAAAAUGGUAAUUCAGAAAACACAAAAACCAAUUAUUUAAAAUAAUCCCCAAGCAAAAAAA
rnacentral:lncRNA from 1 species